UGGCCGUAAACGAUGUGGACUUGGUGUUGGAAUGACUCCGAGCUGCUCCAGUGCCGAAGGGAAGCUGUUAAGUCCACCGCCUGGGAAGUACGGUCGCAAGACUGAAACUUAAAGGAAUUGGCGGGGAGCACAACAACGGGUGGAGCCUGCGGUUUAAUUGGACUCAACGCCGGACAACUCACCGGGGACGACAGCAAUAUGUAGGCCAGGCUGAAGACCUUGCCUGAAUCGCUGAGAGGUGGUGCAUGGCGUAGACGUCU
rnacentral:rRNA from 1 species